rnacentral:rRNA from 1 species
UACGUAGGGUGCAAGCGUUGUUCGGAAUUACUGGGCGUAAAGGGCGCGUAGGCGGCCUACUAAGUCAGACGUGAAAUCCCCCGGCUUAACCUGGGAACUGCGUCUGAUACUGGAAGGCUUGAGUAUGGGAGAGGGAUGUAGAAUUCCAGGUGUAGCGGUGAAAUGCGUAGAUAUCUGGAGGAAUACCGGUGGCGAAGGCGGCAUCCUGGACCGAGAUUGACACUGAUGAGCGAAAGCUAGGGGAGCAAACGGG